GACGAACGCUGGCGGCGUGCUUAACACAUGCAAGUCGAACGGUAAGGCCCUUCGGGGUACACGAGUGGCGAACGGGUGAGUAACACGUGGGUGAUCUGCCCUGCACUUCGGGAUAAGCCUGGGAAACUGGGUCUAAUACCGGAUAGGACUCCGGACUGCAUGGUCUGGGGUGGAAAGCUUUUGCGGUGUGGGAUGGGUCCGCGGCCUAUCAGCUUGUUGGUGGGGUGAUGGCCGACCAAGGCGACGACGGGUAGCCGGCCUGAGAGGGUGACCGGCCACACUGGGACUGAGAUACGGCCCAGACUCCUACGGGAGGCAGCAGUGGGGAAUAUUGCACAAUGGGCGCAAGCCUGAUGCAGCGACGCCGCGUGAGGGAUGACGGCCUUCGGGUUGUAAACCUCUUUCAGCAUCGACGAAGCGAAAGUGACGGUAGGUGCAGAAGAAGGACCGGCCAACUACGUGCCAGCCGCCGCAGUAA
rnacentral:rRNA from 1 species